rnacentral:rRNA from 1 species
AGCGAACGCUGGCGGCAGGCCUAACACAUGCAAGUCGAACGAACCUUUCGGGGUUAGUGGCGGACGGGUGAGUAACACGUGGGAACGUGCCUUUAGGUUCGGAAUAACUCAGGGAAACUUGUGCUAAUACCGAAUGUGCCCUUCGGGGGAAAGAUUAAUCGCCUUUAGAGCGGCCCGCGUCUGAUUAACUAGUUGGUUGAGGUAAUGGCUCACCAAGGCGACGAUCAGUAGCUGGUCUGAGAGGAUGAUCAGCCACAUUGGGACUGAGACACGGCCCAAACUCCUACGGGAGGCAGCAGUGGGGAAUCUUGCGCAAUGGGCGAAAGCCUGACGCAGCCAUGCCGCGUGAAUGAUGAAGGUCUUAGGAUUGUAAAAUUCUUUCACCGGGGACGAUAAUGACGGUACCCGGAGAAGAAGCCCCGGCUAACUUCGUG